CCUCCGCUUCCGAAAAAAAAAACGAAAUAAAGGAAGUAACGACACCUUUUAGCGGCCGCUCUACAAUGUCAAGCACUCGGUCCUCCCGCGACGCCACGUCACGGCGGGAACCUCCUGCGGAGACGAUCUACGACGCUUGUCGUCGCGGUAAUGCCGAGCGCUUUAUGGCGUACGUGCAGAAGGGUGGGUGCCUCAGUGAGUGCGAUGAUCAUAAGCUCACCCUGCUCCACCACGCCGCCUUUUCGGGCAACAGCGCCUUUGUCAAAGCUAUUCUCGACCGCAGCGACGCGCAGCAGGUCAACAUCGACGCUGCCGACAAUGAAGGGUGGACGCCGCUGCACUACGCCGCUGACCGUGGGCAUGCACGCGUCGUGGAAGCGCUGCUCGACGAGGGCGCCAACGUGAACGCACGUGAUGCCGCAAAGCGCACGCCCAUGCACCUCGCCGCUCUGUCUGGCAGGGCAGAGGUGGUGGCAGUGCUGCUUCGCAAUGGUGCCUCAAAGACGGCAAGGAAUGUCGCGGGCAUGAUCCCGAUGGAUUGCGCCAAGCAGACGAACCAAGCAGCCGUGAUUGCUCAGCUCGAGUAGCAACCGAGGUCUUUGUGUGUGUGUGUGUGUGUGUUGAAGCUGCAGGUGCGGAUGUGCUCAUGGUGGGCGCUGCCUACAUGUCAACCAAAAGUGGCAGUGGUGGUGAGACGCUUGUAUGUUUGGAGCGUUUUUGACGUGUGUGUGUGUGUGCUUUUGUGUUCACAAGCUAGCUCGACUGCAUUGUGGCCUUUACACAUCUGUCGGUGGUGACGAUGCAUG
rnacentral:misc_RNA from 1 species